rnacentral:rRNA from 1 species
CAAUAGCGUAUAUUAAAGUUGUUGCAGUUAAAAAGCUCGUAGUUGGAUUUCUGGUGGGAGCGAUCGGUCUGGCGCUUAGCGCGAGUACUUGCAUCGUCUCCGGCCAUCCUUGGGGAGAGUCUGUCUGGCAUUAAGUUGUCGGGCAGAGGAUCCUCAUCGUUUACUGUGAAAAAAUUAGAGUGUUCAAAGCAGGCUUAUGCCAUUGAAUAUAUUAGCAUGGAAUAAUAAGAUAGGACUUUGGUACUAUUUUGUUGGUUUGCGCACCAAAGUAAUGAUUAAUAGGGACAGUUGGGGGUAUUCGUAUUCCGUUGUCAGAGGUGAAAUUCUUGGAUUUACGGAAGACGAACUACUGCGAAAGCAUUUACCAAGGAUGUUUUCAUUAA